rnacentral:rRNA from 1 species
GUUAUAGGGUCAAGCGAACAAGUGCAUGUGGUGGAUGCCUUGGCGAUCACAGGCGAUGAAGGACGCGGUAGCCUGCGAAAAGCGGUGGGGAGCUGGCAAACGAGCUUUGAUCCACCGAUAUCCGAAUGGGGAAACCCACUCCUUAUGGAGUAUCCGUAGCUGAAUACAUAGGCUACGUGAAGCGAACGCGGUGAACUGAAACAUCUAAGUAACCGCAGGAAAAGAAAUCAACCGAGAUUCCCAGAGUAGUGGCGAGCGAAAUGGGAGCAGCCUGUACUCUUUAUCUUCAUUGUUAGUCGAACGCUCUGGAAAGUGCGGCCAUAGCAGGUGAUAGCCCUGUAGACGAAAACAGCGAGGAAGAACUAGGUGUACGACAAGUAGGGCGGGACACGUGAAAUCCUGUCUGAAGAUGGGGGGACCAUCCUCCAAGGCUAAAUACUCGUGAUCGACCGAUAGUGAACCAGUACCGUGAGGGAAAGGCGAAAAGAACCCCGGGAGGGGAGUGAAACAGAUCCUGAAACCGCAUGCAUACAAACAGUCGGAGCCUCGCAAGGGGUGACGGCGUACCUUUUGUAUAAUGGGUCAGCGACUUACAUUCAGUGGCAAGCUUAACCGAUUAGGGCAGGCGUA